GGUCCCAUGGUGUAAUGGCGAGCACUUUGGACUCUGAAUCCAAGAAUCCGAGUUCGAGUCUCGGUGGGACCU
rnacentral:tRNA from 1 species